rnacentral:rRNA from 1 species
CCUGAUGACCAAAUCACCCUUAAUGUGCACCCAAUCUUGUCAGACCACAGAAGCUAAAGCAGGCUUCGAUCCUCUUUGUACUUGGAUGGGAGACUGCCUGGAAAUACCUGGGUGUUUUUGGUU